GUGGGGAAUCUUGCGCAAUGGGCGAAAGCCUGACGCAGCCAUGCCGCGUGAAUGAUGAAGGACUUAGGAUUGUAAAAUUCUUUCACCGGGGACGAUAAUGUCGGUACCCGGAGAAGAAGCUCCGGCUAACUUCGUGCCAGCAGCCGCGGUAAUACGAAGGGGGCUAGCGUUGCUCGGAAUUACUGGGCGUAAAGGGCGCGUAGGCGGACAGCUUAGUCAGAGGUGAAAGCCCAGGGCGCAACCUUGGAAUUGCCUUUGAUACUGGCUGUCUUGAGUAUGGGAGAGGUGAGUGGAACUCCGAGUGUAGAGGUGAAAUUCGUAGAUAUUCGGAAGAACACCAGUGGCGAAGGCGACUCACUGGCCCGUUACUGACGCUGAGGCGCGAAAGCGUGGGGAGCAAACAGGAUUAGAUACCCGUGUAGUCC
rnacentral:rRNA from 1 species